GUCAGAUAAAGUGAUUUUGUGUCUCUCUAAUGCUGUUUUGCCCAAGAUGUUGGAGGUGGUGCGGGGCCAAGUGGCCAUUAGUUUCAGCAGCUCCUCUUCAUUGUCGGUGUCCCAGGAUGUCACACUUUUUGUGUUUUCCUCCACGCAUAGGAGAUCCUCAGGAGUCACAGCCCGUACUCCCCGCGUGCGACGUCCAAGGUGGCUCCUGUGGCUUUUAAGAAGUCCAGCCCCACGAUCAGAGGGAAAGCCAGCCAUCACAAACUUCUGAGGAGAAGGAACAUCACACCUGACUUCCCGUUCGCAGAGCUGCCUCCAUAGAUGUUCCCUCAUCAACGUGUAGGAGCUUCCUGUAUCGACCACAGCAUUCACCUUCCUUCCUUGCACUGUUACUGGAACCAGGAGAAGCGAAGGAGUUGCCAGAGGUUGAGCAAUGGAGAGUCCCGCUGCGUGCUUUGAAGGAAC